AACGCAACUUGCGCCCAGCAAUGGGCAUGUCUGUUUGAGUACCGCAAAACCAUCUGUUCUCUGCAAAGAGGGCGAAUUGGGCCUCUGCAUGUGCUAUCGUGUAUGCAAGGCCUGGAAAGCAGCAAGAAGGUGCCGCUGAUGGAGGCCCUGCUGUGUGCUAUAAACACAUUCUUGUGUUUGGUCGCAGCAGGCGUCUCUGCCUGUGGACACAAUACUAUAUCUUCUAAUUUGGUCUCAAAUCAGGCAGGACUACCCGCUGAACUUAA
rnacentral:misc_RNA from 2 species